rnacentral:rRNA from 1 species
CAGUAGCCGCGGGAAUACGUAGGGGGCAAGCGUUAUCCGGAAUUACUGGGUGUAAAGGGAGCGUAGACGGUUAAACAAGUCUGAAGUGAAAUGCCGGGGCUCAACCCCGGAGCUGCUUUGGGAACUGUAGAACUGGAGUGUCGGAGGGGUAAGCGGAAUUCCCAGUGUAGCGGUGAAAUGCGUAGAUAUUGGGAGGAACACCGGCGGCGAAGGCGGCUUACUGGACGACAACUGACGUUGAGGCUCGAAGGCGUGGGUAGCAAACAGGAUUAGAUACCCCAGUAGUCCCUGUCUCUUAUAC